rnacentral:snoRNA from 1 species
AACCCAUGGUGAGUGUACCUUCUUAAUAAAUCCUUAUAUCUCUCCCAUGCAUCAUAUAAGGUUUCUAAGUCGAUCUAAAUGAAAGAGGAGAUAUCAUUCCUCAACUU